GGUUGUGGCUCAGUGGUAGAGUGCUUGCCUUGCACACAUGAGGUACUGGGUUCGACCCUCAGCACCA
rnacentral:tRNA from 1 species